rnacentral:lncRNA from 1 species
UAUUUGCAUGCAAAGCAACCAACUUGCCACCUGCUCAGAAAAUGGGCAAAGAUUGCUGGCUGCCUUUAACAGGUUUGCAAGCAAAGAUUCGAGAAUGACCCUGGACAUAACAGAGGUGAGCACAAACAAGGACAGAGAUUGUCGGGGUGGGGGGUGGGGCUAGGAUCCAGUGGAAUCAGUGUCCUUGCAUGACAACAAAAAGACAACAAGAGCCAAAAGAUAAAAAAUUACUAUACAGUGGUAUCUCAGGUUAAGUACUUAAUUCGUUCCAGAGGUCCGUUCUUAACCUGAAACUGUUCUUAACCUGAAGCACCACUUUAGAUAAUGGGGCCUCCUUGCUGCUGCCGUGCUGCCAGAGCACAAUUUCUGUUCUCAUCCUGAAGCAAAGUUCUUAACCUGAAGCACUAUUUCUGGGUUAGCGGAGUCUGUAACCUGAAGUGUAUGUAACCUGAAGCAUAUGUAACCUGAGGUACCACUGUAUUGUGCUCAACACGCACAUAUGAAAGAAUAAAUACGUAGAAAAAUAUGUACGACAUAUAAUGAUAUAUAUGUUACAGCUUGCAGUUACAGCUAGUUGGAGGAAGAACUGCCAAAAAUGAUCCAAGGAAGACUCAAACCUUGUGUUGCUCGAGAUGAGAGGAUAGAAGACUAUCAAGAUGCCUUAGCUGCACAGGAGGAUGAAAAACAAGGGUCAGUACAAAUGCCAGCUGAGGCUUGGACAACUGUUCAAAGCAUCCCACGUUUCCCACCUAUGCUUUCUUCUGGGCACACCGAGAUACAGAACAAAAAUAUUAAUCCAUCUUGCUAUAUAUCCGAGCUGACAGUUACCAGACUGAGUCUGAUCAGUCAGAACAAAAGGAGGGCAAGAACAGGAAAUGCUAAUUAAGAGAUACAUACCCUCUAGAAAUUUGUCAGAUGAAUAACACAAGUAUACGUAUUUCGCAACCGUGUUGAAACUCGGGAAACCAUGAAUAUAGAGGCAUAACAAACUGAGAUAUGCAAAAGCGAAGGAGAUGGGUAGGUCUAACAGUGGGCCUAUGCAGCACUGGGAAAGCAGAGAUUUUAAAAAUAAUAAAUAGUGCGGUGCAAUGGUUAGACCAGUGUUCCUCGAACUUCGGCCUCCAGCUGUUGUUGGACUACAACUCCCAUCAUCCCUGACCAAUGGUCCUGCUAGCUAGGGAUGAUGGGAGUUGUAGUCCAACAACAGCUGGAGACCUACGUUCGAGAAACACUGUGAGACAAAGACUAAGAUCGCUUGGGUUGAAAUACCUAUUUAGGUGCAAAGACCACUGGGUGAACUUUGGAGUGACUCUCAGCCACUCUAACAUACCUUAUGGGGGUGUUGAGGAGCUAAAUGAAGGGGGGAGGAAAUGUCCUGGGUGUUGUUAUGUGAAAGAAGGAGGGGAUAUAAAAAUGGGGGGGGGGAGAGUGUAGAGUGAAUAGAGAAAAUGUAGAUAAUGUACACUGGGAUCCUUUUGAGGGCCUGAGGCAUUUCAAGCUGUUAAAUUAAACAAGGUGUUUUUAUGUUUAGGAAGGAGUAGGGAUGGAACAGCACAUCUGUAACAGCCUCCAUCAAUAAGGAGGGGAAUGGGGUAACAUGGCCAGAUGUGGGUGCUUUAUAAUUUUGACACUCCCUGCAAGUACCUCUUGAGAAGUUUUGAUAUUCUGUACAGUCGACUUACCCAACUCACCUCCUUAACAUCCCUCUUAAAUUAUGUACAGGAUUUGAUGGACAUACAGAGCUAAAGACUUUGAUCCUGUACUUGAGAGUGGAUGCCAGGCCUAGACCAGGUAGCUCCUUCAGAAGGAGGAAGCCUCUGUCAAAGAAGAAGAAGAAGAUUGGCAAAAUAAACUUUUGAACUAUGCGGGAC